GGGCGGCGGGCAGCUCUUAGAAGUUUCACAGGAAGCCAGCCCAGGGGCUCCGGGACCAGUAAGAACUGGAAACGCGACGGGAACUCAGACAGCACCAGACACCCAGACCCGAGGCAAAACAGACUCUUCCGCUGUCCCAGGCCCUCUGCCCUGUCCACGGCCUAAGCCCCGCCCCAUCCCCCGGCCCCGCCUCUUCCCCGCCCCCUGCUCCCAGCCUUGCCUUGGCCGCAGGCGUCUUCUGGCGGAGGCGUCGUUUUCUCCUUUUUCUCCGCUGUCUGUUGUAGCGGACUUUCUCCGGUCGGGGUUUUCUCUCCUGUGCGCUGGGCGGAGGAAGAGCUCAGGGCCAGGGUAGAGGGGCGGAGGAGACCCCGGUGAGGCGAGGGCGUCCGACCCGUCCUGCCCCUCUGCCUCUCCUCGCUAGACCCAGGGACAGUGCGGCCAGAUCGAGGGUGGCUUCCAAAGGAGUCUGCAAGUGUUGCGCCCAGUGAGAGCCUCGGCUCUUCCUCCCCUGGGUGGGUGCGGACCUGGCAAACGGGCAGGAUGGCUGUGCAUGCCCCACCCAGUCCCCAAGGAUCUAGACCCACCUUGAUUACCGCAGUUACGACUAACCUCUCCCCUGCCCCAAAGAAACGAAUGUGAACCACCUUUCUGCGCCUAAAGGGCAGUUAGUUUCCGUGAUGGCUGAGAACGGAGCCCCCGAGAAGGACUGGGAUGUGGGAAGGUUAUGUUUUGGGAGGGGCUAGAACUGGCCUGCAGGAGGAACACAGAAGAAGGUGGGGGAGAGAGUGACCACCACCUCUGAGAAGGGUGCCAUUCUCUGUUUUACAACUUUUUAAUCAACCCACUAGUGGGUAUUCAUUUUGUGCUGUGCCUUCUAGGUGAGUGUUAGUUGAUGUGAGGGAAAGAAAGGUGUAUUGGAGUAGGCAAGGUGGUAAUUUUCUAUUCCUGGUCUCUGUCUUAGUCCAUGCUCCUUUCCCCCGACUCCUGUGGUUAUCACCCACUAAGCCUGGAAGAAUAAAUCCUGCUGGAGAUAGACUUGUGAACUCCUGGUUGAUAGACCAGGAUGUGUGGUGAUAAUCUCCAGGUUCUAGUGUUUGAAAUUUUAUUUUAGGUCAAACGAGUGUAAAGGGUAG
rnacentral:lncRNA from 1 species